GAUGAACGCUGGCGGCGUGCCUAAUACAUGCAAGUCGAGCGAAUGGAUUAAGAGCUUGCUCUUAUGAAGUUAGCGGCGGACGGGUGAGUAACACGUGGGUAACCUGCCCAUAAGACUGGGAUAACUCCGGGAAACCGGGGCUAAUACCGGAUAACAUUUUGAACCGCAUGGUUCGAAAGUGAAAGGCGGCUUCGGCUGUCACUUAUGGAUGGACCCGCGUCGCAUUAGCUAGUUGGUGAGGUAACGGCUAACCAAGGCAACGAUGCGUGGCCGACCUGAGAGGGUGAUCGGCCACACUGGGACUGAGACACGGCCCAGACUCCUACGGGAGGCAGCAGUAGGGAAUCUUCCGCAAUGGACGAAAGUCUGACGGAGCAACGCCGCGUGAGUGAUGAAGGCUUUCGGGUCGUAAAACUCUGUUGUUAGGGAAGAACAAGUGCUAGUUGAAUAAGCUGGCACCUUGACGGUACCUAACCAGAAAGCCACGGCUAACUACGUGCCAGCAGCCGCCGUAA
rnacentral:rRNA from 1 species